rnacentral:rRNA from 1 species
AGUUCGGAUUGGAGUCUGCAACUCGACUCCAUGAAGCUGGAUUCGCUAGUAAUCGCGCAUCAGCCAUGGCGCGGUGAAUACGUUCCCGGGCCUUGUACACACCGCCCGUCACACCAUGGGAGUUUGUAACGCCCAAAGUCGGUGGCCUAACCUUUAUGGAGGGAGCCGCCUAAGGCGGGACAGAUGACUGGGGUGAAGUCGUAACAAGGUACC